rnacentral:rRNA from 1 species
GGAUGCGAUCAUAGCAGCACUAAAGCAUCGGAUCCCAUCAGAACUCCGAAGUUAAGCGUGCUUGGGUGAGAGUAGUACUAGGAUGGGUGACCUCGUGUUGCAUUCC